rnacentral:ncRNA from 2 species
AUGAAAGCAUAGGGAGAGAGUACCGGACGCUUACGCGAUCGCGGGUACCGCCGAAGGAGUAAGCCGGAUCGAUGGAUCGCGGUGAAUCUCUCAGGCAAAAGGACCUUUGCCGGACG